GAUGAAGAACGUAGCGAAAUGCGAUACUUGGUGUGAAUUGCAGAAUCCCGUGAACCAUCGAGUCUUUGAACGCAAGUUGCGCCUCAAGCCAUUAGGUUGAGGGCACGUCUGCCUGGGCGUCACAUAUCGUUGCCUGAUGCCAGUUUCCUCGUGAUGGGUGACUGUGCAGGGCGAAUGAUGGCUUCCCGUGAGCAUUGUUGCCUCAUGGUUGGUUGAAAAUUGAGUCCUUGGUAGGGAGCGCCGUGAUAGAUGGUGGUUGAGUGACGAACGAGACCCAAUCAUGUGAGACCCCUACCGAAUUUGACCUUCAUGACCCACAUGCGUCUUUGGAACGCUCAUGACGAGACCUCAGGUCAGGCGGGGCUACCCGCUGAGUUUAAGCAUAUCAAUAAGCGGAGGA
rnacentral:misc_RNA from 1 species